UGAUGACAUCUCAGUGUGUCCCUAUGUUUGUGGAAGAAUUAGGUGCACGUAUUUGGCAGGGGGUCUAGGGGUGUUCCCUC